GUGGGGAAUAUUGGACAAUGGGGGGAACCCUGAUCCAGCCAUGCCGCGUGUGUGAAGAAGGCCUUUUGGUUGUAAAGCACUUUAAGCGAGGAGGAGGCUACCGAGAUUAAUACUCUUGGAUAGUGGACGUUACUCGCAGAAUAAGCACCGGCUAACUCUGUGCCAGCAGCCGCGGUAAUACAGAGGGUGCAAGCGUUAAUCGGAUUUACUGGGCGUAAAGCGCGCGUAGGUGGCCAAUUAAGUCAAAUGUGAAAUCCCCGAGCUUAACUUGGGAAUUGCCGUCGAUACUGGUUGGCUAGAGUAUGGGAGAGGAUGGUAGAAUUCCAGGUGUAGCGGUGAAAUGCGUAGAGAUCUGGAGGAAGACCGAUGGCGAAGGCAGCCAUCUGGCCUAAUACUGACACUGAGGUGCGAAAGCAUGGGGAGCAAACAGGAUUAGAUACCCUUGUAGUCC
rnacentral:rRNA from 1 species